GGGGAGUAUCCUUUGGGAACAUGCCAGUAGUCACGUAGACUUGGAUUUGGGUAUAUAAAGGGGCUUUCUUUGUUCUCAAACACACACACUUUUCCACCACUCUUCUACCUUUCAAGAUGCUCGGAGAGAUGUAGUUUCCUGAUGGAGAAAGGCCAUGCAUGAUCCCAGCCUAUGAUAUACUUUCCUGUAUCCUGAACUAUUCUUUGGAACUAAGAUGUUUUUACCUGUAUGACCAACCUCAUACAUGCUUAAAGCAAGCAAAGGCGAACUGACUGAACCUCUGAUGGCAAGGAACGCCACUAUCCGGGAUCAGCCAUGAAGAAGACUUUCUCUUGUGUCCUCCCUCGGCAGAUGCGUCAUAAGGAUCUCUCCAAACUAAAGAGGUGGAUUUCUUUUGGAUCCCGAAUAAGGCACCAUGCAUUGUAUAGAAAGGGUAAUAAAGGAAGAGCUCAGUCACUAA